rnacentral:tRNA from 2 species
GCGUCCAUAGCUCAACUGGAUAGAGCACUGGCCUUCGAAGCCAGGGGUUGGGGGUUCAAGUCCCUCUGGGCGCG